UCAGAUGAGAAAACUGAAGCUUUGAGAAUAAGUACCUGGACUAAGGUCAUGCAAUGAGGAAGGGCCAGGCCAGAUUGAAAGCUAAAGACGUGGGUGUCCAUACCCCAUGCCCUUCACCUGUGUGGUGACUGCCUUAAUGAUCAACUUUGUACUGGGCCCAACGCCGAGGCAAGUGAGCCAAAGGUCAGCAAGUCUAGCUCCCUGGAGGUGACACAGUGAUGUAUAUAAUUGGGGUGCUUGGAACCUGGUGCAGUCCAUCCGAGCUGCUGGACAGGCUGCGUCUACCAUAGAGGCGGCUUCGGGGCACCAACUUCCACGUCCCAAAGGUCCUGACUUUCUGAACUGAGAGAAUUCUGCUCGGAGCUGUGUUCCUAACUGUCAGGAGUUCAGGGUGAGUUGGUGUGACUUGGAUAGAGCCGCUGCUUAAAAACUGAUUCUGUUCAGGCUUCUCUAAAAGGUGGGGCAGGCCCUGGGUCUCCACCUCAACUUCCCUGCCAUGCUCUGGGACCCGUGGCAGCCUGUCUCCCCCUCUGCGCCUGACACCCCAGAGACCCUGCUGUGGUCCAGUCCGUCCUCUCUCUACCCAUGACAGAGGCUGAACAGUGGGCUACGUGUGACGGGAUUCUGCUGUUUGCCAAAGAAAAGGAACUGCAAACGGGACUUGGGGGCGCAUGUUUACCUAAGUCAUACUUCUACAGAUGCUCAGUAACACUUAAAUAAAGCAAUUAGAUUAUGCUACCUUCCAAUAAAAUUACUAAAAUAACCUUUAUUCAGAAAAAAAGUAAGUCAUGUGUUCAAGUAAUAGAUGUUGAAUAAAUGAACAUUUUAAUAAAUAUGAAUCCACUGGAUUGGAGGAAUAUCGCAUGGUCAACGAAACAAUCCCAUUUACAACUAAGAAGCAGUAGUCAUGAAAUUUUGUGUUUUAUAAGAAAGAUUAUUUAUUUAAAGAAUUAAACUAUAGGAAGACUAAAAUUCUGUGAAUUCUGUCCCCCACGUAAAAGGACAGUGACUCACUAGGGGCAGACUUAGCUGCACUGUCUCUCCAUAGAUCAGGUACUACAAUAGACCUGCAUAGACAAUGCACAUAUUUAUACCCCAC
rnacentral:lncRNA from 1 species